AUUGAACGCUGGCGGCAUGCCUUACACAUGCAAGUCGAACGGCAGCACGGGAGCAAUCCUGGUGGCGAGUGGUGAACGGGUGAGUAAAGUAUCGGAACGUGCCCAGUCGUGGGGGAUAACGUAGCGAAAGUUACGCUAAUACCGCAUACGAUCUAUGGAUGAAAGCGGGGGAUCGCAAGACCUCGCGCGAUUGGAGCGGCCGAUAUCAGAUUAGGUAGUUGGUGGGGUAAAGGCUCACCAAGCCGACGAUCUGUAGCUGGUCUGAGAGGACGACCAGCCACACUGGGACUGGGACACGGCCCAGACUCCUACGGGAGGCAGCAGUGGGGAAUUUUGGACAAUGGGCGAAAGCCUGAUCCAGCCAUGCCGCGUGCGGGAUGAAGGCCUUCGGGUUGUAAACUGCUUUUGUACGGAACGAAAAGGUUUGGCUUAAUACGUUGAACUCAUGACGGUACCGUAAGAAUAAGCACCGGCCAACUACGUGCCAGCAGCCGCCGCAG
rnacentral:rRNA from 1 species